CUCAGAGACGCGGAGAAACACGUUGGAAGACAUUUUAAAACCAGCGUUUGGAACGUUGCCUCGGUUUGUCAGUACUGAGAAAUUUUUAAUUACCGAUGAAGCCUGGAUGCUAAAACAAAUUUCGAAGCUGCAUUUUUGUCGAGCACGAAUGAGGCUGGACGCCGAAUACACCUGCGGCGGGAAGGUUUACUGGUUCAGAUGCUGCAGCCUGGACACAAACAGCAGCUCCCACCUUACAAACCAAACAGGUCACAGUAAUAUACACAAUAUGACGUCGUCCACGAUCACAGAGAGUCUCUGAGAAAGUUCUUUGAGACCAGGAUGGAGUCCUCCAGUGACUGCACGUCUACCCCAGUCCUCUACAGACUUCCAAUACAAUUCACCUCACUGCCACCUCUGCAGUCGUUGGCCUCAUUGCAUAUGAGGACGACAGGGAGUAAAGAGAACUGACUUCAGAUCAAUGCUGGGAAGACCAAAGAACUGGUGGUGGAUUUCUGCAUGAAAUCCACCCCCCACCCCCCCAGGACCAGUGAGCAUCCACGGAAGAGACAAUGAGAUGGUGACAUCUUCGAAGUACCUGGGUGUUCAGCUGAACAAUAGAAUGGACUGGACAGACAACACCACUGCACUUUACAAGAAGGCUGGAGGUGGUGGGUGAGAGGAGGAUGAUAGCAAAACUAUCAUCCCUGAUGGACAAUGAGCUCCACCCCAUGUGGGACAGCACUGAGCAGCUCCUUCCUGCUGCUGUCAGACUCUACAACCAGCACUGCUCCUAGUUUCACUAGGUUUUUUUUUGCACUUUAAUUAACCCAAACAGCUGCUACCAGUCAGUCAUUGUGUGCAAUAUCUGUAUUCAUUUUCUAUGUGUAAAGUUGUAUAUUUCUCUUCUGUUAAUAUUUUUGCCCUUAUUUAUGUCUUUCUAACUUUUUUCAAUCACUUUUGCAACAAUGUAAAUUUCCCCAUUGUGGGACUAAUAAAGGAUUAUCUUAAGACAAGGUUGAAAUGUGAAAUACUGAUAACGAUAUCUAUUAUUGUUAGAUAUUUGGCUGGGUCGGGGCUUGAACAGGAGACCUUCGGUUGGGAGUCAUGCGCGUUACUGAUCUAGUCACUGAAGUCCACAGUGCAAAGCCUCGCAGUAAAAGCAAUUGUAGUGAUAGUACAAUUGCAAAAUUGUUGUAAAUAGCAAAAUAGCAUAAAAAGUUGAAUACGCAAAACAAUAAAAAGCUUCA